rnacentral:tRNA from 1 species
UCCUCGUUAGUAUAGUGGUCAGUAUCCCCGCCUGUCAUGCGGGAGACCGGGGUUCAAUUCCCCGACGGGGAGCCA